GUCCACGCCGUAAACGAUGUCAACUAGCCGUUGGUCCUAUUUACAGGAUUAGUGGCGCAGCUAACGCAUUAAGUUGACCGCCUGGGGAGUACGGCCGCAAGGUUAAAACUCAAAUGAAUUGACGGGGGCCCGCACAAGCGGUGGAGCAUGUGGUUUAAUUCGAUGCAACGCGAAGAACCUUACCUACCCUUGACAUCCAGAGAAUCUGUUAGAGAUAGUAGAGUGCCUUCGGGAGCUCUGAGACAGGUGCUGCAUGGCUGUCGU
rnacentral:rRNA from 1 species